rnacentral:rRNA from 1 species
CAGCAGUGGGGAAUAUUGCACAAUGGGGGAAACCCUGAUGCAGCGACGCCGCGUGGAGGAAGAAGGUCUUCGGAUUGUAAACUCCUGUUGUUGAGGAAGAUAAUGACGGUACUCAACAAGGAAGUGACGGCUAACUACGUGCCAGCAGCCGCGGUAAAACGUAGGUCACAAGCGUUGUCCGGAAUUACUGGGUGUAAAGGGAGCGCAGGCGGGAAGACAAGUUGGAAGUGAAAUCCAUGGGCUCAACCCAUGAACUGCUUUCAAAACUGUUUUUCUUGAGUAGUGCAGAGGUAGGCGGAAUUCCCGGUGUAGCGGUGGAAUGCGUAGAUAUCGGGAGGAACACCAGUGGCGAAGGCGGCCUACUGGGCACCAACUGACGCUGAGGCUCGAAAGUGUGGGUAGCAAACAGGAUUAGAUACCCUGGUAGUCCACACCGUAAACGAUGAUUACUAGGUGUUGGAGGAUUGACCCCUUCAGUGCCGCAGUUAACACAAUAAGUAAUCCACCUGGGGAGUACGACCGCAAGGUUGAAACUCAAAGGAAUUGACGGGGGCCCGCACAAGCAGUGGAGUAUGUGGUUUAAUUCGACGCAACGCGAAGAACCUUACCAAGUCUUGACAUCCCUUGACGAUGCUGGAAACAGUAUUUCUCUUCGGAGCAAGGAGACAGGUGGUGCAUGGUUGUCGUCAGCUCGUGUCGUGAGAUGUUGGGUUAAGUCCCGCAACGAGCGCAACCCUUACUGUCAGUUACUACGCAAGAGGACUCUGGCAGGACUGCCGUUGACAAAACGGAGGAAGGUGGGGAUGACGUCAAAUCAUCAUGCCCCUUAUGACCUGGGCUACACACGUGCUACAAUGGACAGAGCAGAGGGAAGCGAAGCCGCGAGGUGGAGCGAAACCCAUAAAACUGUUCUCAGUUCGGACUGCAGUCUGCAACUCGACUGCACGAAGUUGGAAUCGCUAGUAAUCGCGAAUCAGCAUGUCGCGGUGAAUACGUUCUCGGGCCUUGUACACACCGCCCGUCACACCAUGAGAGUCGGUAACACCCGAAGCCGGUGGCCUAACCGCAAGGAAGGAGCUGUCUAAGGUGGGACUGAUGAUUGGGGUGAAGUCGUAACAAGGUAUCCCUACGGGAACGUGGGGAUG